ACCUCUGCUGGUACCAUCCAGAGAUAUACACUAAAACUGGAAUGACAAAGGGAAGGUUAGGAUGGCCCCCCGCACAAGGAUGACACACAAAUCCAAGUGUUCCAUAUUUUU
ensembl:snRNA U6 U6 spliceosomal RNA